rnacentral:hammerhead_ribozyme from 1 species
AUCCAGCUGUCAAGUCCCAAAUAGGACGAAACGCGUGUCCUGGAU